rnacentral:tRNA from 2 species
GCCGCUGUAGCUCAGUGGUAGAGCGCACCCUUGGUAAGGGUGAGGUCGAGAGUUCAAAUCUCUCCAGCGGCU